rnacentral:rRNA from 1 species
UACGUAGGUGGCAAGCGUUGUCCGGAUUUAUUGGGUUUAAAGGGUGCGUAGGCGGCCCUGUAAGUCAGUGCUGAAAUAUCCCGGCUUAACCGGGAGGGUGGCAUUGAUACUGCGGGCUAGAGUACAGAUGAGGUAGGCGGAAUUGACGGUGUAGCGGUGAAAUGCUUAGAUAUCGUCAGGAACACCUAUAGCGAAGGCAGCUUACUAGGCUGUAACUGACGCUGAGGCACGAAAAGUGUGGGGAGUCAAACAGG